CUGCUGCAUUCGUCGCCACGGCGCCGCUGCCGUCGUCACCGCAGGCUGCGGUCAGUUUGCCUUCGCCGUUGGGUUCGGUCAGCGUCGGUGCCCUGAAACCAACCCGAGAUUCUCGAUUUCAAACUUACAAGCACGGAGGAGGAAAGUCUUUUCACGGAGGACGAUAAUCUUUACAAGAUCUUUAUUUAAUAUCUAAAUUAAUGUCGAUUGAUGAUCAAAUCAACAUGGAGAAUAUUAAAUUAGUUUAGUUUAAUUCACAUUACUUUGUAUUUUAUUUUAAA